UAAUACGAGGGGUGCUAGCGUUGUCCGGAAUUACUGGGCGUAAAGGGUCCGUAGGCGUCUUGUCAAGUUGAUCGUUAAAUCCACCGGCUUAACCGGUGAUCUGCGAUCAAAACUGGCAGGAUAGAAUAUGUGAGGGGAAUGUGGAAUUCCUGGUGUAGCGGUGACAUGCGUAGAUAUCAGGAGGAACACCAAUGGCGAAGGCAGCAUUCUGGCACAAUAUUGACGCUGAGGGACGAAAGCGUGGGGAGCAAACGGGAUUAGAUACCCUGGUAGUCCACGCCGUAAACGAUGAGUACUUGGUGGUGGGGGAUUCGACCCCUUCACUAUCGGAGCUAACGCGUUAAGUACUCCGCCUGGGGACUACGGCCGCAAGGCUG
rnacentral:rRNA from 1 species